rnacentral:rRNA from 1 species
GACGAACGCUGGCGGCGUGCCUAAUACAUGCAAGUCGAACGGUCUUUUCUAUGGAAGCUUGCUUCCACUGAGAAGAUAGUGGCGAACGGGUGAGUAACACGUGGGUAACCUGCCCAUAAGAGGGGGAUAACAUCCGGAAACGGGUGCUAAUACCGCAUAGUUUUCUUGAUCGCAUGAUCGGGAAAGGAAAGACGGCCUUUGUGCUGUCGGUUAUGGAUGGACCCGCGGCGUAUUAGUUAGUUGGUGAGGUAACGGCUCACCAAGACGAUGAUACGUAGCCGACCUGAGAGGGUGAUCGGCCACAUUGGGACUGAGACACGGCCCAAACUCCUACGGGAGGCAGCAGUAGGGAAUCUUCCGCAAUGGACGAAAGUCUGACGGAGCAACGCCGCGUGAGUGAAGAAGGUUUUCGGAUCGUAAAACUCUGUUGUCAGAGAAGAACAAGUUGGAGAGUAACUGCUCCAGCCUUGACGGUAUCUGACCAGAAAGCCACGGCUAACUACGUGCCAGCCGCCGCAGUAAAAC